rnacentral:rRNA from 1 species
ACUCCUACGGGAGGCAGCAGUGGGGAAUAUUGGACAAUGGGCGCAAGCCUGGUCCAGCCAUGCCGCGUGAGUGAUGGAGGCCUUCGGGUUGUAAAGCUCUUUUGGCGGGGACGAUGAUGACGGUMCCCGCAGAAUAAGCCCCGGCUAACUUCGUGCCAGCAGCCGCGGUAAGACGAAGGGGGCAAGCGUUGUUCGGAAUUACUGGGCGUAAAGGGCGCGUAGGCGGUCUUGUUAGUCAGGCGUGAAAGCCCUGGGGCUUAACCUGGGAUGUGCSCUUGAUACUGCCAAGGCUUGAGUKKGGGARAGGUUGGKGGAAUUCCCAGUGYA